AGCUUAUGGACGAGCAGGAAAGAAGUUAGGAAGACUUCCGGAGGAAUUACUGACAGCUGAGCAGAAUUAACCAGAUGAGUCUGAAAAGAGGUUUAGUGACUCACCCAAGACCUUGGAACUAGCAUUAUCUUUUACCAACUUGAAUUCAAUGUAACUCUGAUAAAGAUGUCAACAUACAGUCCGGUCUAAAAGAGUUAUCCCAAUAACAAAGAGCUGAGUGAUCAAAAACAACUUCAAGGGGCCAGCCCAGUGGCAUACUGGAAGGUCAGCCCUGAGCUAACAUCUGCCACCAAUCCUCCUCUUUUUGCUGAGGAAGACUGGCCCUGAGCUAACAUCCGUGCCUAUCUUCCUGUACUUUGUAUGUGGGACGCCGAACCACAGUAUGGCUUGCCAAGCGGUGCCAUGUCCACACCCAGGAUCCGAACCGCUGAACCCUGGGGUGCCAAAACAGAACUUGCGAACUUAACCGCUGCACCACCAGGCCGGCCCUACUUAUGGACUAAUUUUGAUUGUCCUUGAGAAAAGGUUU
rnacentral:lncRNA from 1 species